UCUGAAUCUGCGUACGGCUCCGCAAACCAGUUGUAAACCAAAGCAAGCAUACUCGGGGACUGCCCUUCACGGGGUGGGCUCGGGUGAUACGGAUAACCCUGGUAAUUCUGAGGCUAAUACGAGACUAUAAUCCCUGGCGGACCGGGCAACUGGGAAGCUGGGGGGCGUGCGAUCUAUUUGCAAGACGAUACCAGGAGGGGGUGCACGCUCUGACCGCGAUAAAGACGGUUCCGGUAAACCUUCGGGCGAGCUGGUUCCGAGCGGCUCUUGCGAUGUGCUUCUGACCUAUCAACUAGAGGCAGAGUAACGGACA
rnacentral:rRNA from 1 species